rnacentral:rRNA from 1 species
UCCGUAGGCGGGUAAUUAAGUCAGAGGUGAAAUCCUGCAGCUCAACUGUAGAAUUGCCUUUGAAACUGGUUAUCUUGAGUUAUUAUGAAGUAGUUAGAAUAUGUAGUGUAGCGGUGAAAUGCAUAGAUAUUACAUAGAAUACCAAUUGCGAAGGCAGAUUACUAAUAAUAUACUGACACUGAUGGACGAAAGCGUGGGGAGCGAACAGGAUUAGAUACCCUGGUAGUCC